AAUAACGCCUUUAACACAUGGCGCAUGCUUGCUUCCCAAAGCUAAGGAGGGCUCUGUGCAGGCGGGCAGCCCACCCUAAGGGAAGAAUCAUGGGAAAGAGCUCUGGCCUUGCAGCCUGUUUCUUCAUCUGAAAAAAAGAAGGAAAAAUAAUACCAAACUCAGAAAGACUUCAUGAGGAUCGAGUCUGUUUGAAUUGCUUUUCAUUGCACCUUCUAAAUAUGGGGAACUGCGACAUGAAGAAGUUAACUUACCUAAGAUCAGAGAAUGAGUCAAGGACAGAACAGGACCAUGUCAUCAAAUUUAGAGAAACUUGAACUAUGCAGAAAAGAGAUGGGAUUCUUCUGUGGCUGUGCUGCUCACUCAAGGGAGUCUGAACCAUUUUGACCAGGAAAAGCCAAAGGAAAGGCCACUGCCAAGGGCAGACCACACAUUGCCUGAAGUCAUUGUUCUCCAUUCCAGCCCCAAGAACUCUGCGAGAUCGAUGAAAGCAUACAUUGAGAAAUAAAAGUCAUGAGAAAAUUUUACAAAUUAGCUAGCUUUCAUUUCCUGUUGGCUUUUCCAGCACAUGCUUGGCACCAGAUGAGAGUAAUGUGGUAAUGCAGUAAAAUAUCCCUGUGAGACACUAUCUGCUUAGAGACAGGAGGCAGUGAGAUGCUUUAGCCCUUGAUGUCCUAAGGGCCUGUCUGGACAUCGUGAGGUUUUCUCAGAAGCCAAUGUAAUAGACUUUUUGUCAUAUCAAGUUUGUUUUUUAGGGAAUUUCAAGGCAUCAACAUUAUCUAUAUUUCCACUGCCGGCUCUGAUUUGGAAAUGCCAGUAAAGUUGGUGUGCUUUAUAUUUACUUGAUCUCUAAAAAA
ensembl:lncRNA novel transcript, antisense to DEC1